rnacentral:rRNA from 1 species
AACGAACGCUGGCGGCAUGCCUAACACAUGCAAGUCGAACGAGCCCUUCGGGUCUAGUGGCGCACGGCUGCGUCACGCGUGGGAACCUGCCCUUAGGUUCGGACUAACUCCCCGAAAGGGGUGCUAAUACCGGAUAAUGUCUUCGGACCAAAGAUUUAUCGCCUUUGGAUGGGCCCGCGUUGGAUUAGCUAGUUGGUAGGGUAAAAGCCUACCAAGGCGACGAUCCAUAGCUGGUCUGAGAGGAUGAUCAGCCACACUGGGACUGAGACACGGCCCAGACUCCUACGGGAGGCAGCAGUGGGGAAUAUUGGACAAUGGGCGAAAGCCUGAUCCAGCAAGGCCGCGUGAGUGAUGAAGGCCUUAGGGUUGUAAAGCUCUUUUACCCGGGAUGAUAAUGACAGUACCGGGAGAAUAAGCUCCGGCUAACUCCGU